UUAUUAAUUAAUAAUAUUUUUUUUUUCAUUUUUUUAUGUUACUGAACGAGUCAUUCUCUUUAUUAUCAUUAUUAUUAUUUUUUUAAUAAUUAAUAAUAAAAAAAAACGGUUUAUCUUGGGUUUAGAUAGAUUUUUUUUCCUCUGGCUACUCUUGGUGGUGGAAGAAGUUGUGGGGUCCUAUAUCCCUCUGAAGGUGAAGAUCUUCGCUUGAAAAUUUUCAUCUAAUUGGAUUCCUUCCAAUUGCAAUCUUACCAAAUAUGGGCUUCUGAGGUGGCCGAUGGUAAGUGGGUACCACCGCAUGGAAGUAUAGUCAAGAUAAAUGUUGAUGCGGCGCUUGAUUUUGAGUCUGGAAUUUGUGGCUUAAGGAUGUUGGACCGUAAUAUUAAAGGAGAAUUGGUGGUGUCGACGAUUUGGCACUUGUUGGGCAAUUUUUCACCUGAAUUGGUUGAGGCUUUGGCGUUGUUAAAUCCAACUUUAGUGUCGAUUGUUUGGUUUUACUAGCAUUCACUUGGGUCUGAUUGUUUGAGUUUUGUUUGUUUCUUCCAAAUGAUUUUAGUAGUCUCCUAGUUUAAUAUUAUAGCUUCUUCAUUGGGUUUAGUUUUAAAUAAUUUUAGGCAUAACUUUUCUUCAUUUUGUUUAGUUUGAUGAACUCGUUUUGAGUGAUUUAAUUGAUCAAUAAAUCCUUGUCCCUCUCA